rnacentral:rRNA from 1 species
UACGUAGGGUGCAAGCGUUGUCCGGAAUUAUUGGGCGUAAAGAGCUCGUAGGCGGUUUGUUGCGACGGCUGUGAAAUCCCGAGGCUCAACCUCGGGUCUGCAGUCGAUACGAGCAAACUAGAGUGUUGCAGGGGAGACUGGAAUUCCUGGUGUAGCGGUGAAAUGCGCAGAUAUCAGGAGGAACACCGGUGGCGAAGGCGGGUCUCUGGGCAACAACUGACGCUGAGGAGCGAAAGCGUGGGGAGCGAACAGG